GAAUCUUUCAGGUGUAACCACCUGAUCCUGAGAAUUACAACCAAAUAACCGCACCAUAUUUGGCCAGUCUAUCUACUAAAAAUGGUUACACAGCUGUCUCCUCUAUAAAUAUUCAAAUCUCGAGGAUCCAGAUAAGUAAUUAAUCUCAGAGACUAAAACUCUGCUUCUCUAUUUGUGCGUUCUGACUUGAGCAUCAGAGUGUCCUCACCGAAGCAUAAUCCUCCAGUCCGAAUUUUUUUGCAGGUUGCUCCAGCACUGCGCUUCUCAAUUUUCUGAUGUCAAUUAGAAACAAGCUGCCA
rnacentral:lncRNA from 1 species